UACGUAGGGUGCAAGCGUUAUCCGGAAUUAUUGGGCGUAAAGAGCUCGUAGGCGGUUUGUCGCGUCUGCUGUGAAAACUGGAGGCUCAACCUCCAGCCUGCAGUGGGUACGGGCAGACUAGAGUGUGGUAGGGGGAGACUGGAAUUCCUGGUGUAGCGGUGGAAUGCGCAGAUAUCGAGGAGGAACACCAAUGGCGAAGGCAGCUCGCUGAAACGGUACUGACGCUGGAGGCGCGAAAGCCGUUGGGGAGCGAACAGG
rnacentral:rRNA from 1 species